rnacentral:rRNA from 1 species
AACGAACGCUGGCGGCGCGCUUAACACAUGCAAGUCGAACGAGAAGGCGUAGCAAUACGCUUGUACAGUGGCGAACGGGUGAGGAAUACAUGGGUAACCUACCCUCGAGUGGGGGAUAACCCGCCGAAAGGCGGGCUAAUACCGCGUACGCUUCCGAUCUUGCGGGAUCGGAAGGAAAGCUGUCCCUUGGGGAUGGCGCUCAAGGAUGGGCUCAUGUCCUAUCAGCUUGUUGGAGGGUAACGGCCUACCAAGGCAUCGACGGGUAGCUGGUCUGAGAGGACGAUCAGCCACACUGGCACUGCGACACGGGCCAGACUCCUACGGGAGGCAGCAGUGAGGAAUAUUGCGCAAUGGGCGAAAGCCUGACGCAGCGACGCCGCGUGGGGGAGUGAAGGUCUUCGGAUUGUAAACCCCUUUUCGGGAGGGAAGACGGCCUUAGACAACUAAGGCGGACGGGUACCU